GUAGAGGCAACAUCGAGGAUAGAAUGAAUGAGAUCACAUCUAAUUUUAGAUACCUGGUAACACACCGCUCACAGCAGGACAAGACUUAAUAUGGCACUGACAUGGAUGUCAGAAGUCUAUAAUGCUGUUUGCAAUUACAUAUGUGAGCUCAGAUAUUGCUCGUCUCAUGGCACAAUGCAUAAAUAAACUAGAAGAGGAGAAGAAAAUCUUACUGGAAGAGAAGAAGAUCUGGUGGAAAAGAAAAAGAACUUACUGUAGGAAAAUGAUUGUGUAUUGAUGCAGGUGGAGUCCUGUGGGACUCACUGUCGGCAGCACUGCUUCUAUGAAGAUCAAGAGAUCACCGGGGGCAAUGUAAUAGGAUGUGAGAAUCAGAAAGUGAGAGAUUUUUACGAGAGUUCUCCUGGGUUUUUUUAAAUGACAAUCAUGUACAUUACUAAAUCAAACUGGUUUACCAUGUAAAUGAUUGCCACUUUAAAAACCCCCACAAAAUCUCAUACUUUCUGAUUCUCACACCCUAUUACAUUCGCCCCCUAGACUCAUUUCGCCACCAUCUGGUAUCUGUCUUCUAUUGAGUACUCUUUUGUUGGUAAUUACUUUAAAUAAACAUCUGUAAUCACCCAA